UCUUCUCUUGGUUAUGGAACUGGAAUACUAAUGGCUGUUUGAUUGGCAUGGUGGGAAUGGGUUUGAAGAAAUUCACCUAACCCUGCCUGUUGCCUUCCAAUGUGGAAAACUUGGUGUUUUUUGGAGGAAAAGUGAUGAUUGUGCCUCCAAGUAAGGAAGACUUGCAAAAUAUAAUAAAAGCCUGGUAUCCAAAUUUAGAGCCAAUUUCUGAGAAACUUAUAGGAACCUUUGAAAGGGUUAACUCUUCUCCUGUACAUCAACUAGCGGGAUUCCACCCCAGAAAUUCUGCUGUUAGUUUUCUCAGCAGAUUCUCAUUAAGGGAUCUUCUUAAAUGGUGCAAGCGAAUCUUAGGUUUAGGCUUUAGCUUCAAUGGAGAUGGUUUGUCAGCUUAUGAGUGUAAUUACUGAGAUAUGGGUUCCCCCUGUUGGUGACCUAAAUGAGCUUAAGAGUAUUGCUCUGCAGAGGUAGAUAAGUUUGAAGUACAUGUUUGUGCAUAGAUAGAACUUUGUCAAAUCAGAGCCACCAAAUCCAACAGAGCUAGAUUUGGAUAGUCCCAAGUGCCUCUCAGUACACCUCCACGCUGGUGCAUUUUCCCACUAUGCUUUGAGAAGAUAAGAUACUGAUGGUAGUGUGGG